rnacentral:rRNA from 1 species
CAAUUGCUUAUAACCUUUUGGUUAUAAAUAAUUGUUAGUGGCAGACGGGUGAGUAAUGCGUAGGAAUCUACCUAGUAGUAUGGAAUAGCCAUUAGAAAUGAUGGGUAAUACUGUAUAAUCCCUGAGGGGGAAAGAUUUAUCGCUAUUAGAUGAGCCUACGUUAGAUUAGCUAGUUGGUAAGGUAAUGGCUUACCAAGGCUGUGAUCUAUAGCUGGUCUGAGAGGACGAUCAGCCACACUGGAACUGAGAUACGGUCCAGACUCCUACGGGAGGCAGCAGUGGGGAAUAUUGGACAAUGGGCGAAAGCCUGAUCCAGCUAUGCCGCAUGAGUGAAGAAGGCCUUCGGGUUGUAAAACUCUUUCAAUAGGGAAGAUAAUGACGGUACCUAUA